rnacentral:rRNA from 1 species
GAUGAACGCUAGCUACAGGCUUAACACAUGCAAGUCGAGGGGAAACGACAUUGAAGCUUGCUUCGAUGGGCGUCGACCGGCGCACGGGUGAGUAACGCGUAUCCAACCUGCCUCUGACUAAGGGAUAACCCGGCGAAAGUCGGACUAAUACCUUAUGAUGUUUUCUGCAGACAUCUAAUGAAAACGAAAGAUUUAUCGGUCAGUGAUGGGGAUGCGUCUGAUUAGCUUGUUGGCGGGGUAACGGCCCACCAAGGCAACGAUCAGUAGGGGUUCUGAGAGGAAGGUCCCCCACAUUGGAACUGAGACACGGUCCAAACUCCUACGGGAGGCAGCAGUGAGGAAUAUUGGUCAAUGGGCGAGAGCCUGAACCAGCCAAGUAGCGUGCAGGAUGACGGCCCUAUGGGUUGUAAACUGCUUUUAUGUGGGGAUAAAGUGAGCUACGUGUAGUUUAUUGCAGGUA